rnacentral:rRNA from 1 species
CACGUAGGGCGCAAGCGUUGUCCGGAAUUCUUGGGCGUAAAGAGCUCGUAGGCGGUCUGUUGCGUCCGCUGUGAAAACUCGGGGCUUAACCCCGAGCCUGCAGUGGAUACGGGCAGACUAGAGUGUGGUAGGGGAGACUGGAAUUCCUGGUGUAGCGGUGAAAUGCGCAGAUAUCAGGAGGAACACCGAUGGCGAAGGCAGGUCUCUGGGCCACUACUGACGCUGAGAAGCGAAAGCAUGGGGAGCGAGCAGG